GACGAACGCUGGCGGCGUGCUUAACACAUGCAAGUCGAACGGAAAGGCCCUGCUUUUGUGGGGUGCUCGAGUGGCGAACGGGUGAGUAACACGUGAGUAACCUGCCCUUGACUUUGGGAUAACUUCAGGAAACUGGGGCUAAUACCGGAUAGGAGCUCCUGCUGCAUGGUGGGGGUUGGAAAGUUUCGGCGGUUGGGGAUGGACUCGCGGCUUAUCAGCUUGUUGGUGGGGUAGUGGCUUACCAAGGCUUUGACGGGUAGCCGGCCUGGGAGGGUGACCGGCGACCAUGGGCCUGAGAUACGGACCAGACUCCUACGGGAGGCAGCAGUGGGAAAUAUUGCACAAUGGGCGGACGCCUGAUGCAGCAGCGCCGCGUGCGGGAUGACGGCCUUCGGGUUGUAAACCGCUUUCGCCUGUGACGAAGCGUGCGUGACGGUAAUGGGUAAAGAAGCACCGGCUAACUACGUG
rnacentral:rRNA from 1 species